rnacentral:rRNA from 1 species
AUGGUGCAGUCGCAUUCCCCCAUGUUUGUGUUUUUGUGCGAGACUCGACAAAAAGAAAGUAAGAUGAAGAGGAUUAGAAGACGUCUUGGACUUCAAGGUUUUGAGGGUGUGGAUAGCAAUGGUUUAAGUGGUGGGCUUGCUUUGUUUUGGCAUGAAUCAUUCCAAGUUACAGUUCUGGGAACAGAUGAGCGGUUCAUUGAUAUUUCUAUCAUCUCUCCCGGUGGGGAUCAGUGGAGACUAACUGAUGUUUAUGGUGAACCUAGGGUUGAGAUAGAUACUUGA